rnacentral:tRNA from 1 species
GAAGGUAUAGCUCAGUGGUCGAGCACAUGCUAGCAUACAUGAGGUCCUGGGUUCAAUCCCCAGUACCUGCA